GGCGUAAGCGCAUGCAGGCGGUUUGUUAGUCAGAUGUGAAAGCCCGGGGCCCCUUUUCGGAACCGCAUUUGAAACUGGCAGGCUAGAGUCUUGUAGAGGGGGGUAGAAUUUCAGGUGUAGCGGUGAAAUGCGUAGAGAUCUGAAGGAAUACCAGUGGCGAAGGCGGCCCCCUGGACAAAGACUGACGCUCAGAUGCGAAAGCGUGGGUAGCAAACAGGAUUAGAUACCCUGGUAGUCCACGCCGUAAACGCUGUCUACUUGGAGGUUGAGGUUUUAGACUUUGGCUUUCGGCGCUAACGCAUUAAGUAGACCGCCUGGGGAGUACGGCCGCAAGGUUAAAACUCAAAUGAAUUGACGGGGGCCCGCACAAGCGGUGGAGCAUGUGGUUUAAUUCGAUGCAACGCGAAGAACCUUACCUACUCUUGACAUCCAGCGAAGCCUUUAGAGAUAGAGGUGUGCCUUCGGGAGCGCUGAGAAAGGUGCUGCAUGGCUGUCGUCAGCUCGUGUUGUGAAAUGUUGGGUUAAGUCCCGCAACGAGCGCAACCCUUAUCCUUGUUUGCCAGCACAUAAUGGUGGGAACUCCAGGGAGACUGCCGGUGAUAAACCGGAGGAAGGUGGGGACGACGUCAAGUCAUCAUGGCCCUUACGAGUAGGGCUACACACGUGCUACAAUGGCAGAUACAGAGGGCAGCGACGCUGCGAAGUAGAGCGAAUCCCUUAAAGUCUGUCGUAGUCCGGAUUGGAGUCUGCAACUCGACUCCAUGAAGUCGGAAUCGCUAGUAAUCGUGGAUCAGAAUGCCACGGUGAAUACGUUCCCGGGCCUUGUACACACCGCCCGUCACACCAUGGGAGUGGGCUGCACCAGAAGUAGAUAGCUUAACCUCGGAGGGCGUACCACGG
rnacentral:rRNA from 1 species